GGGAGACAUGUAUUCUAGUCACUGCUCCCCUAUUAACAGCUCUGUGAUUUGGGGAAGCUGCUUUGGCCUCUGGAUUGAAAAUGCCUCUUCAAAACUGCCAACAGAGAACUUCUCUCCUUUGAGUGAGUUCCAGAAGAUCACCACAGAACACUGCAUUCCACUGUGAAAACAAACCUGGAGGCCAAAGCGUAAGCACUUGCAGUUGGAGGGGCUUCUCUCUUGUGCCGAAACGAAACCAUACUUCUCAGCCUUUUCACCCUGACCUCGAGAAUGCUGAGCUCUGCCAGCCUGAUUUCCUUCUCACCGCUGUGCUACCUGUAACCAACCUGCCAACGCUGAAGAGCUCUAGUUGGCUCCAUGGAAUGAGAGUCCCCGGAGGGAUCCCUCACCCCUCCUCACAUGUGGAAUUGUAGCAAGAUGACCGUCUAUGAACCUGGCAGCUCUCAUCAGACACUACAUCUGCUGGCGCCUUGACCUUGCACUUCCCAGACUCCAGAACUGAAGGAAAUACAUUUUUGUUGUUUAUAAGCUACUCAGACUACGUUUUU